AGUGAACGCUGGCGGUAGGCCUAACACAUGCCGGUCGAACGGCAGCACAGUAAGAGCUUGCUCUUACGGGUGGCGAGUGGCGGACGGGUGAGGAAUACAUCGGAAUCUACUUUUUCGUGGGGGAUAACGUAGGGAAACUUACGCUAAUACCGCAUACGACCUACGGGUGAAAGCAGGGGAUCUUCGGACCUUGCGCGAUUGAAUGAGCCGAUGUCGGAUUAGCUAGUUGGCGGGGUAAAGGCCCACCAAGGCGACGAUCCGUAGCUGGUCUAAGAGGAUGAUCAGCCACACUGGAACUGAGACACGGUCCAGACUCCUACGGGAGGCAGCAGUGGGGAAUAUUGGACAAUGGGCGCAAGCCUGAUCCAGCCAUACCGCGUGGGUGAAGAAGGCCUUCGGGUUGUAAAGCCCUUUUGUUGGGAAAGAAAAGCAGCAGGUUAAUACCCCGCUGUUCUGACGGUACCCAAAGAAUAAGCACCGGCUAACUUCGUG
rnacentral:rRNA from 1 species